rnacentral:rRNA from 1 species
GAUACUGGGCGUAAAGCGCACGCAGGCGGUUUGUUAGUCAGAUGUGAAAUCCCCGGNNNACCUGGGAACUGCAUUUGAAACUGGCAAGCUAGAGUCUCGUAGAGGGGGGUAGAAUUCCAGGUGUAGCGGUGAAAUGCGUAGAGAUCUGGAGGAAUACCGGUGGCGAAGGCGGCCCCCCGGACGAAGACUGACGCUCAGGUGCGAAAGCGUGGGGAGCAAACAGGAUUAGAUACCCUGGUAGUCCACGCUGUAAACGAUGUCGAUUUGGAGGUUGUGCCCUUGAGGCGUGGCUUCCGGAGCUAACGCGUUAAAUCGACCGCCUGGGGAGUACGGCCGCAAGGUUAAAACUCAAAAAAAUUGACGGA